rfam:Operophtera brumata OBRT01_Sc02193, whole genome shotgun sequence.
CGUUCUACGGCCGAACUGGUGAAGGCAUCGCUGAUAACAGGCGAAGAUGCGGGUUCGAGUCCCGCUGGAAUGG